rnacentral:piRNA from 1 species
UGCAUGUAUGUGCACAAUAUGAUGGUACCA